rfam:Dipodomys ordii contig_11907, whole genome shotgun sequence.
GGGAAUGUAGCUUAGUGGUAGAGUGCUUGCCUUGCAAGCAUGAAGCCCUGGGUUUGAUUCCUAAGUACCA